ACCACCAGCAUCAUGAUCUUAACGGGUCCACAACCCAACUUUUCCCGCUCGGACAGAGAAGCAAAGUUACAGGCAAGCUUUACCAUGUACAUGUGCACUAAGCUAAAGCAAUAUGAAAAGAAAAGGAAAGGAUCAGGAUGAUGUCAUCUAAGCACACACACCUAAAAUGACAUGACAAAUUAAGCUCUGGAGCACUAAAAAUUACAUUGAAAAGCUAUAAAAUUACAAUAAUAAUUCCACUAUUAUUUUCAGUGUAAUAUCCACUACAAAAAUGCACUGCAGAGGGGAAGAACAUGGAGGGGGGAGAAUAGCUAGAGGAAACGGGAAUAAGCGCCAACCAAGAGGGCGAUUCCUCCAUGAUCUGGGACAGAAACCUGAAGAUGAUCCACUCUGCUGAAGAUGACUAAACACAGGUAAACAGCCCCAACUUUGCAAUCACCACAUACUAAGUAUGAUUUAGACAGAUCUCUCUCCCCUGCCUGUCUACAUCAGAAAUCAAAUAAAGGGCGGCUGUGAACCAUUAUAUAUACAUGCUGCAGAGACAAAUAAACUAAAAAAAAGGAAUUCUGGAAGUUUACACUAGAACCAAGAAUUAAACUAGAUCCAGGAAGAACCCUAGGAUCCUAUGAGUCUAGGGGUGCACGAGCAGAAAGGUUAGGAAACAAAAAAUCCAUGUUAAAAUCGUGAAUUUCAGAACUACUAGGAAGUUCCUGAAUUGAAAACAACAGUUACAGCACAUGGAAAUGAGUAUAAAAAAGAUAGGGAUCACAUGUUCUGGGAGAUAAAAUACAAAAAGUUAGGAAAAUCCUUGAACAAACAGGUUAGAAAUGCUAUUUUUAUAAAGCUAGGACUGUAAUUCAGAAACUUUGGCACACACAAACUAUACACUAAUCAGAAGCUUAGAUCAUGAUUACAAAAUAACUCAUUUACAAGAAAGUAAAGAAACUAGGACUGAAUUUUAUAAACUUUGGAACUACAUAGAAAGACCUUUCUUUCCUACUUGAAGUUCAAAUUGCUACAAACUACUAUUUGUAAAUACAAAUGAGUACACAUAGGAAGUAAUAAAAUGAUCAAUUUCAUAUCAAUUAAGCCUAUCAACUGACAAAAAGGGGCAAACACAUGUACAAGCAGACAGUACAUGUUUCAAGAUUAACAGAACAAUGCUUAUAUACAUUUUUACAUUUACAGGUGCCUGCAAUGGAAUCAAAUGGGAUGGAAACAAGCAUGAAGGGCCAGAACUUGUACCUCGAACAUGAUGAAGCUAAGUUCCUCAAUGUAUGUCUCUCUUAUAGCAUUAACAAAUCCUGUGAAAAGAAAACAGAUUCAAUCAUGUUUUUCGAAAUUGGUUAUUGACAACAAAACAGAGUGGAGCAUACUUGUUUACUCAACAAAACAGUGCAAGUCCACUGAGAGUUACAGUGUAAAUCCAAUAAGAAUUACACUUUAAAAUCCUGGAAUUACACUGUAAAACCCACUAAAAAUUACGGUGUAAGUCCACUGAGAGAUACAGUGUAAAUCCAAUAAGAAUUCCACUAAAUAUAAUACAAAUAUAAUCCAACCCCUACUCAAAUGCAGAUUACAAAAGGGUAAAAUACCGUCCCUACCCAAAAGCACUAAGGAUUACAGUGUAAAUCCACUGAAAUUACACUGAAAAAUAUCAAGAGUUACAGUGUAAAUAACACUGAAAAUCACAGUGUAAAUCCACUAAAAACUACGGAGUAAAUCCACUAAAAAUUACACUGAAAUAAUCAAGAGUUACAGUGCAAAUUCCACUAAAAAAUUACAGUCUAAAUCGGUAAAUCCACUAAAAACUACAUUGUAAAUCCACUGAAAAUUACACUGUAAAAAUCAAGAGUUACAAUGCAAGUCCACUGGAAAUUACAGUGCAAAUCCACUAAAAACUACAGUGUAAACCCACUUAAGCUUACAUUGUAAAUCCACUGAAAAUUACACUGUAAAAAUCAAGAGUUAAGAUGCAAGUCCAUUGGAAAUUACAGUGCAAAUCCACUAAAAACUACAGUGUAAAUCCACUUAAGCUUACAUUUUAAAUCCACUGAAAAUCACACUGUAAAAAUCAAGAGUUAAGAUGCAAGUCCAUUGGAAAUUAUAGUGCAAAUCCACUAAAAACUACAGUGUAAAUCCACUAAGAAUCCUCUGAACCCACUAAAGAAUUACAUUACAAAAUGCACUAAGGAUACAUUGAAAAUGCACUGAGAAUUACACUACAAAAAAAUCACCUAAAGUACUAAAGAAAUUACACUGUAAAUCCACUGAGAAUUACAGUGUAAAACCACUAGGAACACACACUAAAAUCUUCACUGUAAUUGCACCAAAAUCACCACUGUAAUUACGAUUCAAAAGCACUGUAAUUCCAGUGAAAAUGCCCACAAUAAUUACACUGAAACAUACACUGUACUUACAAUGUAAAUUUCAGUGAAAUUACACUGGAUUUCUAAUAAAUACACAUGAGGAGACUUGAACACAGUGUAAUCACAUUAAAUUAGCUGUGAUUACACUGAUUUUAUAUAUUCAUACAAACUAUGAGCUAGAUUCAGCAUCUACAUCCAAACUGGAGGGGUCCGUAGCGACAACUACAGGAGGGAUGGUACACACCUAGGAGUUCAGCACCUACAACCAACCAGGAGGGAUCCACAGCGACAACUACAAGAGGGAUCCACUAAAGAAAUUGAACACAACUAGGAGCUACUCUUCACAAUGGCAACUAGAGCGCAAUCUGGAAGCACAAAAAAUCAACAAUACACAGGAAGGAUCCACCACUACAUACACAUCGGACCACACACCUGCAACAUCCAAAACAUCUAGGAACCACGGCAACACAGGGGAACAUACAGGAUUCGCCGGAUCUAGCAAAAAUCGAACAGAAAAGGCUGGGGGAGGAACACAGGGGGCAAGGAUACUUACAAAACCAACCAUGGAUGGAGGAUGAGGAGGGGUACACAGGGUUCGCAGAUCCACACGAGGAAGAUGAGGAGUGGCGCGAAGUCAAGCGAAGCAGAGAAGACAACGCAGCCGGAUCACCAUGGCAUCGAUUUCGCCUCUCCCUCUGCGUGCGUUUGAGGACAAGGAAGCAGGGGAUGGGAGGGGGGAGGGGGGAGGAGGACCGGAUGCCUAGCCACCGGCUCGCCCUCGAGAGAUCGGCGACUGAGAUCUCUUGCCAAAAUUCGCCAUGAAUCAAUGCAUCAAGCUCGCGCCGCUGGAAAUGGGGAAGAAAACGGACAAAGUCAGCAGAGGAGAAAAAAAAGGAAAUUCGAGGGAAAAACCCGUCUGCGACACGCUAC
rnacentral:lncRNA from 1 species